rnacentral:misc_RNA from 1 species
CCAAUGAUUGGGAACCAGUUGAGGUCGAUAGAUCUCCUGGUUGCUAAAAUCAAAUACCCAUCUUUGUGCACCUUUUUUAUGUCUCUGGUGGUCGCAAGAGAAGUCUCUUAUUUGGAGGAUCUCUUCUAGUUCAUUUUGAUCCUCGGACAAAUGAAUGAAGCCACCAAAUGGUUGCUAUAACACACUUUUUUGCCGUCCAAAAUAUCUGUCUAACAUUGAUUUGUGUAAAAAUACAUAAAA